GCCGGGCAUGGUGGUGCAUGCCUGUAGUCUCAGCUACUUGGGAGGCUGAGGUGGGAGAAUCACUUGAGCCCAGGAGGAUGAGACUGCAGUGAGCUGUGAUCAUUCCACGGCACUCCAGCCUGGGUGACACAGUGAGACCCUGUCUCAA
rfam:Gorilla gorilla gorilla genomic chromosome, chr21, whole genome shotgun sequence